GUGCUGGCUUCAGCAGCAUGUAUACUAAAAUUGGAACAAUAUAGAAAAGAUUAGCAUGGCCCCUGUGCAAGUAUAACAUGCAAAUUCAUGAAACAUUCCAUAUUUUU
rnacentral:snRNA from 1 species